GCAAAUUGACACCGUAACUUCGGGAGAAGGUGUGCCGCUGGCGGUUAGUGACUUCGCGUCACGAAGCUGUUGGUGGUCGCAGUGAAAUGGCGGUUGUGACUGUUUACUAAAUACACAGGACUCUGCGAAGUCGUAAGACGACGUAUAGGGUCUGAUGCCUGCCCGGUGCUGGAAGGUUAAGGGGAUAUGUCAGCGCAAGCGAAGCAUUGAACCGAAGCCCCAGUAAACGGCGGCCGUAACAAUAACGGUCCUAAGGUAGCGAAAUUCCUUGUCGGGUAAGUUCCGACCUGCACGAGGGCAUAACAACAUCCGCACUGUCUCGACCAGGGACUCAGCGAAAUUACAUUGGGGGUGAAGAUGCCCUCUACCCGCGGAAAGACGGAAAGACCCCAUGAACCUUUACUGCAACUUGGCAGUGAUUUUCGGGUCGUUCUGCGUAGGAUAGGUGGGAGGCUUUGAAGCCGGGCUUCCGGGUUCGGCAGAGCCAACGUUGAAAUACCACCCUGAAUAAUCUGGAAAUCUAACCUGCGCCCAUGAUCUGGGCGAGGGACACUGCCUGGUGGGCAGUUUGACUGGGGCGGUCGCCUCCUAAAUUGUAACGGAGGCGUGCGACGGUUCCCUCAGGCUGAUUGGAAACCAGCCGUAGAGUGCAAACGCAUAAGGGAGCUUUACUGCGAGACUGACAAGUCGACCAGUUGCGAAAGCAGGUGUUAGUGAUCCGGUGGUACCACAUGGAAGGGCCAUCGCUCAUCGGAUAAAAGGUACUCUGGGGAUAACAGGCUGAUCGCGCCUGAGAGUUCACAUCGGCGGCGCGGUUUGGCACCUCGAUGUCGGCUCAUCGCAUCCUGGGGCUGGAGCAGGUCCCAAGGGUUUGGCUGUUCGCCAAUUAAAGCGGUACGCGAGCUGGGUUUAAAACGUCGUGAGACAGUUUGGUCCCUAUCUUCCGUGGGCGUAGGACACUUGAGAGGAGCUAUCCAUAGUACGAGAGGACCUGGAUGGACGAACCUCUGGUGCUCCGGUUGUCACGCCAGUGGCAUAGCCGGGUAGCCAUGUUCGGAACGGAUAACCGCUGAAGGCAUAUAAGCGGGAAGCUGGCCUCAAGACUAGGUGUCCCUGACGCAAGUCACUAAAGGCCCCUCGAAGACUACGAGGUUGAUAGGCUCGGUGUGGAGGCACAGCGAUGUGCGGAGCUAACGAGUACUAAUAGGCCGUGCGGCUUGACCCC
rnacentral:rRNA from 1 species